CCUCUCAAAGAACACAACACUUAAUAAAAAUGAAUAAUCCACCAUUAUUAUAGCAAAUUCUAAAUCAGAUUUAAUACUUUAUUGUGUUGGCAACUUUGAAACCGAAAUUUAAUCCGGUUUACUAACAACUAUUACAACAGUAAUGAAAAUAACAAUAAUAAUUAUUAGAAAACUAUUGGCCUUGUGGAGCAAGGUGUUUCUGCAUUUACUUCCUAGUAAUUAACAGCCAAAAACUGGAUUAAGCAACCUUCGAAGAAAUGAACACCUACAGUAUAUAAAUGCAAAAACAUCAUCAAUUUUAGGCCCACAUUUCUGGAAAUAUCCAUCACAUUAUUCUAACUCUUUUUCCACAUCCCAACACACAAACAACCUUUCCAUAUUCUAAUGCUCCAAAACCACUCUAUAUUCUCACACUGUUCUUCAAAGCUACCAUAAUCUUCUAGCCUUUCAUCUGGAGGGAGAACAAAGAUGUCAAUUCGACAACCCUGGAACAAAUGCAUCAAUUUUCAGCCCCUUGUCCCAUGUCUGAUCCUUUGUUCAGCUUACCAUUCACUAUUAUUCUAUAUAGAAAGAAUGCAACCACUGCACCACUGCAAAGGAAAGCUAGGUAUCAGAUACCCAAACUAACAUAUUUUAAAACAAGCCAUUGUGAACAUGUAAUUGCAAUAACAUUAUGAUUCUAUUUGGCAAACAUACACAAACACACGCAUGCACACUGAAUAAGUCAAAAUUUAUUGAUCACAAAAUUGAAUAAAUAUGAAUGAGUUCUAUUUAUUAGAGAAUAAAAAAUCCAUCACAAAAACAAUUUCUGCAACCCCAACUUUAUGUUGGAUGCCCGAUGAGUGCAAAUUCUAGAUCAUCUUCCUCUUACAACCCUGAUCUAAAACCUCCCGCACCUUAAGUCCUCGUCAAACCCUAUAACCAGACAAGGUAUAGCUAUUUUUAAUUCAUACUUCAUCCUACUUCUAUAAGCCACACUUUCCAUCAGCAAUCCAAACACCAAACAAGAGUUUCGCUGUUUGAAGGUAGUAAAUUGAAUACAAGAAUACAAAAGUUAAGAAACAUGAGAACAUUAUGAACCUGAUGACGGUUGAGAAUAAGGUCAAAAAAGAAGCUUUCUGCCAAGAAGGAAAGAAAGAAACAGAGGUUAAAAGAAACUACUGUGCCACAAAUAUAUCAAGUACCAAAGGAAACAAAUAAUAGAAUUAAUUAUGAAGAAAUCUUACCCGAGACAGCAACAGUAACUCCCUAAGAAAGAUUAUAGCUGUUAUUCCUGUAGACAAAAGAAAACAGUAACAGAACUUUUAGUCAAAUCUAUAAUAAAAGAAAUAAACAUAAAUGAGAUAGAGAGAUCACUGAAACAAAUAAAAAUAUAAUACCAAGCCAAGCUUAAUUUUAGUUCAAACUAGAAAACAUGAUAAUCAGUCUCAGAUCCAAGCGUAAAAUUACCUAACUGUAGAUGAUAAUACACAUACUCUGGUAAUCAUGUAAUGAUCCUAAAUAAUAGCUAUUCUUCCAUGUGCGAAAAGGAGUUCCAAGGGACGCAGAUAAUCACAAAAGAGACAAAUAUAGUUGCCCUACCUCCAUAACACCAGAAACUUGUAAGAGAUUCGUAAUGCAAAUAAAUACACAAAAGACCUAAAAACCUACAUAGAAAAACCUAAUUAUGAGACAAUUACUACAGCUAUGCAUAAACACAUUGCAUCCUUUUAAAUUCAUGACUUAAUGCUGGACAUCCUGUAUUGCGAAGCUGUGAAGGGAUAUAAACAUCUAAUUCUAUUUUUAGGGCCAUUCUAAGCAUUAGUCAGAAUUUUCAUUGGCGCUUCAGGCAUUUUUUUCAACUGACAGAACAUGUUAAUAACAUUAACCACCUUUUAACUUAAGACAUGUAUAAUCAAAUGGCAAAUGCAAGGCAUUCAAAAACCUAUCACAAAAUAUAUGACAGAUGAUCAAACAAAACUAGUCUAUCCAAGCAGAAACAGUUUAGAAGCCAGUCAUCAGUCAUCAAAAACGCAAAUAAUAGCCCAAAUGUUUUCUCCUUCAUGUCUUAAAAUAGAAACAAGCCAUUUUCUAACCUGCCUCUCCUUUCAAGAUUGAAGUAGGUGGUUGCACUUCUUUUUUGUAUGAUUUUAAACUCAAUACACUUAAAGCCAAAAGAGCACCACCAAGAAUGAUACCAAACCUAACAGCAGAAAUGCU
rnacentral:misc_RNA from 1 species